UUUGUAAACUUGAACUCUAAUUGAUGUUAGUUUGGGGUUUUAUUUUUUGUCUUGUUUUUUAGGGUGAAAUCAGAAAUUUUUGUUAUUAGUGCCCUAAUCUUUAAGAUUUGAUGAAUAAGUCAGAUUAGUACCUGAUUAAACAAAAAUUAAAAGAGCAGGAGUAAAGUUAUGUUUAAACUGUAAGAGUAUUGGCAGGUUCUUAAAUUAUCUUUGGAGGUUGAGUAGUAAUUGAGAGCCCUCAUUAACAACUUUUACUGUGGGCGCAUGUAUGAUCGUUUAUUUUAUUCUUGAGGAUUGUAAUUUUAGAUGAGCUUGUCUCUGUUAAAAUAGAUAAAUAUUUGGUUUAUGUAGAAGAUUUAAUUUGACCUACAAUAUACUAUUUUGUGGAUACUUUACUAGUAAGAAGUUGAAAAUGUAAAAGACAGUAAGUUCUUUUUUAUGUAGAUCUGAAGUUUAUUUAAGAACGGUACAAAUCAUCCAUCAAUUGCCUAUA
rnacentral:rRNA from 2 species